GAAACUGGCAGCGAUGUUUCAGGGGCAGGGUGCCUGCUUCUGCCGUUCCCUAAGAUCUCAGAGUUACACAACCUGAAAUCAGGAGGGAAGGCAAACGAGGUGCCCCAAGGGGAACAGAUGGCAUGCUGGAAACCACCAGCAAGACUCAGUCCUGGAAUAGAUUUUCACCUUCAGGCUCUGCACAGAGUCCUGUUCAGGUAUUGCAGACUUCAGGCCACAGUUUCCCUGAUACAGUCAAACCCUCUCACCAUGUGAAGGUGUGCAUCCAAG